rnacentral:rRNA from 1 species
UAAUAAAAACAUUUCUUUUUGUAAAAAAAAGUAUUCUYUGCCCAGUGCUAGUGUUAACGGCCGCAGUAACUUGACUGUGAAAAUGUAGCGUAAUUGCUUGUUAUUUUAUUGAUAACUUGUUUGAAAGAGGUUUAUGUGAAAUAAAAAUUUUUAUAACUUUGUUAUAAUUUUAUUGUGAAGUCAAAAUUCUUCAUACAAAAAAAAAGAAGAGAAGACCCUAUUAAGUUUUCUUUUAUAAAUUAAAAAAGUUUUUUUAGGGCAAAAAAUUGUAAAUACAAUUUUUUUGAUUGGGAUAUAAGAAAAAAUUACUUUAGGGAUAACAGGAAAAUAAAAUAUUAAAGAUCUUAUUAAAUAUUUUGUUUUUUACCUCGAUGUUGAAUUAAUAACUCUUUUUUCUGCAGUAGGAAAAAAAGAUAGUCUGUUCGACUAUAAAAAAAUUACAUGAUUUGAGUUUAAACCGG